UGCAGUCGUACGAGAACGCCUCAGCUUGCUGGGGCAAGUAAAGUGGCGCACGGGUGAGUAACACGUGGGUAAUCUACCUCCGAAUUGGGGAUAACAUUGCGAAAGCGGUGCUAAUACCGAAUAACAUCCCUGGGACUCCGGUCUUGAGGAUCAAAGGUGGCCUCUACACGUAAGCUGCUGUUUGGAGAUGAGCCCGCGUACCAUUAGCUUGUUGGUGGGGUAACGGCCUACCAAGGCAGCGAUGGUUAGCUGGUCUGAGAGGAUGAUCAGCCACACUGGAACUGACACACGGUCCAGACUCCUACGGGAGGCAGCAGUGAGGAAUUUUGCGCAAUGGGGGCAACCCUGACGCAGCAACGCCGCGUGAGUGAUGAAGGCCUUCGGGUCGUAAAGCUCUGUCAAGCGGGAAGAACCUGCUCAGUGAUAAUACCGCUGGGCAAUGACGGUACCGCUGAAGGAAGCACCGGCUAACUCCGUGCCAGCAGCCGCGGUAAUACGGGGGGUGCUAGCGUUAUUCGGAAUCAUUGGGCGUAAAGGGCGCGUAGGCGGUCUUUUAAGUCAGAUGUGAAAGCCCUCGGCUUAACCGAGGAAGUGCAUUUGAUACUAGAAGACUUGAGUAUGGGAGAGGGAAGCGGAAUUCCUGGUGUAGCGGUGAAAUGCGUAGAUAUCAGGAGGAACACCGGUGGCGAAGGCGGCUUCCUGGACCAAUACUGACGCUGAGGCGCGAAGGCGUGGGGAGCAAACAGGAUUAGAUACCCUGGUAGUC
rnacentral:rRNA from 1 species